rnacentral:rRNA from 1 species
GUCUAUGGCCAUACUACCCUGAAUGUGCCUGAUAUUAACUUAUGUUAGAAGCUAAGCAGGGUUGAGCCUGGUUAAUACUUGCAUGGGAGAAUGUAUGUUUUUAAUAUGAAUGACUGGCCAGUGACC